rnacentral:rRNA from 1 species
CAGGCCUAACACAUGCAAGUCGAGCGAAGUCUUCGGACUUAGCGGCGGACGGGUGAGUAACGCGUGGGAGCGUGCCCUUCGGUACGGAAUAGCCCAGGGAAACUUGGAAUAAUACCGUAUGCGCCCUUCGGGGGAAAGAUUUAUCGCCGAGGGAUCGGCCCGCGUCUGAUUAGGUUGUUGGUGGGGUAAAGGCCCACCAAGCCGACGAUCAGUAGCUGGUUUGAGAGGAUGAUCAGCCACACUGGGACUGAGACACGGCCCAGACUCCUACGGGAGGCAGCAGUGGGGAAUCUUGGACAAUGGGGGAAACCCUGAUCCAGCCAUGCCGCGUGAGCGAAGAAGGCCUUAGGGUUGUAAAGCUCUUUCAACGGUGAAGAUAAUGACGGUAGCCGUAGAAGAAGCCCCGGCUAACUCCGUGCCAGCAGCCGCGGUAAUACGGAGGGGGCUAGCGUUGUUCGGAAUUACUGGGCGUAAAGCGCGCGUAGGCGGGUUGGUAAGUCAGGGGUGAAAUCCCGGAGCUCAACUCCGGAACUGCCCUUGAUACUGCCAGCCUGGAGAUCUGGAGAGGUGAGUGGAAUUCCGAGUGUAGAGGUGAAAUUCGUAGAUAUUCGGAGGAACACCAGUG